rnacentral:lncRNA from 1 species
AUGGCAGCGCAAUCUGUGUCCGGCAUUACCAGAAAAGUCUUCAUGUGGACAGUCUCAGGGGCACCACAUACAGAAUUUUGGUCUCGAUCCAGAAAAUAGAAAGAGCCAGUGGUUGCUGAGACAGUACAAGAGGUGAAAAAGGAAUCUAUCCUCAGUGUGUCUACCCUCACAAAGCCGAGCAUACACACAACCUGAAGAUCUCCAGAGUUGUUUGGAAUCUUAUGUUAAAGAAGUUUUUGGUUCAUCUCUUUCUAGUAAUUGGCAAGACAUCUCCCUGGAAGAUGGUCAUCUACGGUUCAAUCUCUUGGCACAUUUAGCUGAUGGCUUGGGUCAUGUAGUCCCUAACUCCAGACUCCACCAGAUAUGCAGGGUUAGAGAUGUUCUUGAUUUUCUAUAAUGUCCCUAUUCAAGAUAGAUCUAAAUUUGAUGAACUCAGUGCCAGUAAUCUGCCCCCCAAUUUGAAAAUCACUUGGAGUUACUAA